rnacentral:tRNA from 1 species
GCCCGCGUAGCUCAAGGGACAGAGCACCAGCUUUCGGAGCUGGGUGUCGGGGUUCGAUUCCCUCCGCGGGCG